rnacentral:rRNA from 1 species
GGGUCAGUAGGUUGGUCGUGCCACCGGUACGUACUGGUCUCACUGAUUCCUCCUUCCUGAAGAACCGUAAUGCCAUUAGUUUGGCGUUGCGGGGAAACAGGACUGUUACUUUGAAAAAAUUAGAGUGUUUAAAGCAAGCUAACGCUUGAAUACAUUAGCAUGGAAUAAUGAAAUAGGACGAUCGAUCCUAUUUUGUUGGUUUCUAGGAUUGACGUA